GAUGAACGCUGGCGGCGUGCCUAACACAUGCAAGUCGAGCGGCAGCGAGGGGUGCUUGCACCCUGUCGGCGAGCGGCGGACGGCUGAGUAACGCGUGGGAACGUGCCCCAAAGUGAGGAAUAACUGCCCGAAAGGGUAGCUAAUACCGCAUAUUAUCUUCGGAUCAAAGGAUUUAUCCGCUUUGGGAGCGGCUCGCGUCGGAUUAGGUAGUUGGUGAGGUAAUGGCUCACCAAGCCGACGAUCCGUAGCUGGUCUGAGAGGAUGACCAGCCAGACUGGAACUGAGACACGGUCCAGACUCCUACGGGAGGCAGCAGUAAGGAAUCCUCCACAAUGGGCGAAAGCCUGAUGGAGCAACGCCGCGUGCAGGACGAAGGCCUUCGGGUUGUAAACUGCUUUUAUAAGUGAGGAAUAUGACGGUAACUUAUGAAUAAGGAUCGGCUAACUACGUG
rnacentral:rRNA from 1 species